rnacentral:rRNA from 1 species
GACGAACCGUGCGAACGUUGUUCGGAAUCACUGGGCUUAAAGGGCGCGUAGGCGGACGACCAAGUCAGGGGUGAAAGCCCCCAGCUCAACUGGGGAAGUGCCUUUGAUACUGGUCGUCUCGAGGGGAGGUAGGGGCGUGCGGAACUUCCGGUGGAGCGGUGAAAUGCGUGAGAUGACGGAAGAGCCGGUGGCGAAAGCGGUUCUCUUGGGCCUGUACUGACGCUGAGGAACGAAAGCGUGGGGAGCGAAACAGGG